GCCAGUGUGGUGCAGUGGUUUAAAUGUUGGACUAUGACUGGUGACCAGGGUUCGAAUCCCUGCUCAGCCA